CAAUUUAUAUAUAUAAAUUACCAUUUAUAUUUUACAUUCACAUUUUACGUUAUGUUACGUAAGUUUUUACAUUUUCUCAUAAUGUUAUUGUAGAAUCGGCCUUCGGGAAGCACUCCCAACCUCUAAACAGUGACCCAACCUAGACCUGACAAUGUUACACUCUCCCCCAUAUAGAAAAAAUUCGAUCUCAAGAGCGAAUUUUUUUUCAAUAUUAUACUAUAUAAUAAUAAAUAAUAUAAUGAGUGAAGUGGUGCUCGAUAGGAACUACUUGUGCAUUCUUUUCGUUAGUGUUUUGGAUUAUUGUUGGCCAAUAUUUCAUCAGAUAAGCAUAAUUUUAUACAUAAUUCUUUAGAUCCCCUUUUAUAAUCUCUUUGGAAUCCCGGGACCAAGUUAAUUUUUUGUAAAAAAAAGGCUGUUUUCUACGUUUUUAUAACAAUAUUUUAUUACCCCCCUUUUUUCUGAAGCCAAUUAUUUCUAAACCCGUAUUCAAAAGAAGAAUUUCUGGUCCAAAAUACAAAAUGGAAUAUCCCAUAUGUCAUCAGAAACCAUUGUCAAUACACAGAAUCAAGUACAAGUCUAGGAUUCAAACCGGCCAAACAAUAUCCCCAACAAACCACAAUUAAAAGGAUUCAAGAAAAACGACAAAUGGACUCAUAGAAAAUCUAAAACCAGGUAAACAACUUUAUUAAAUUGAGACCACCUAAUGUAAAACUAA